rnacentral:rRNA from 1 species
GGAGGAAAGUAGGGGAUCGAAAGACCUUAUGCUUUUGGAGCGGCCGAUGUCUGAUUAGCUAGUUGGUAAGGUAAUGGCUUACCAAGGCAACGAUCAGUAGUUGGUCUGAGAGGACGACCAGCCACACUGGGACUGAGACACGGCCCAGACUCCUACGGGAGGCAGCAGUGGGGAAUUUUGGACAAUGGGCGCAAGCCUGAUCCAGCAAUGCCGCGUGAGUGAAGAAGGCCUUCGGGUUGUAAAGCUCUUUCAGUUGAGAAGAAAAGAUUGUGACUAAUAAUUGCAAUUCAUGACGGUAUCAACAGAAGAAGCACCGGCUAACUACGUGCCAGCAGCCGCGGUAAUACGUAGGGUGCGAGCGUUAAUCGGAAUUACUGGGCGUAAAGGGUGCGCAGGCGGUUCUGUAAGUCAGAUGUGAAAUCCCCGGGCUUAACCUGGGAACUGCGUUUGAAACUACAAAGCUAGAA